rnacentral:lncRNA from 1 species
CCCUACCAUUUUUUGGGGAAAGGCCCCACCUGGAAGUGCCAUUUGGUUCUUGUGACUAACCCUUCCUUCCUCCCCGGGGGGGGGGGGGGGGGAGGGGCGGGGGCUGGUUUCCUGGAGAUGGAGGAGAGAGGAGCUUGUUCAGCCAGUCUGGACUACAAUGCUCUUCUUGGUUCAGCUGGAAGAUUCAGGCCCAGUCACUUAUGAAGCCUCCAACAUCAGUCCAGAUCAGAAACAGCAUGAGUCACCACAGUUUUUAGAACAGCUAAACAGUACAAGGACAGCAUAUCCCAGUGUUGCAGGAUGGAUUCCACCCAGGGCCUCUGGGAUACACAGUUUAAAGGCCUAUCAGCUAAAGUUUGUCCUGAGUUACAGCAAGAUAGGAUUAGAGUUUAUAGAGAGACUACUGCAGCAAAGGAAGUUACAAAGUGCAAAAAAGCUACAAAGAAAUUGACUGACAGCCCUCAAGCCUCAAAAUUCUCCAAGAGCUGGCUGGGUGAGAGUUCUAAGUUGUUGAAGGGACAGGUUUCCAACUGUCUGUCUGGAGCUGAAGGUCAAUGGAAUCUCCCAGGACAACCUCAUCUUGUAAAUGUUUGCAUUAGAAUAAUAUCUGAAGGGAUUGAGGAGAAGAUCUCCAUACAUUCUGGUGGACAGAGUGAUUUUGGAGGAGCCUUUCUCUCUCUUUCUUGGAGCAUCUGAGGACUCAACAGCUGGAUUCCUCCUCCUACCUGACCCACCAAGGACUCUGUGUGUGAGAUUCUGGGUUCCCUCUUGGACUGAUCCUUAGAAAGCAUUAGUUGAGUUAGUUAGACAGGUUAAAUAUCUUCAGCAAAUACUCAGAUGCAAACCUUUCCCCUUUUUCCUUCCCCAUCAUCCCUUUCUUUGUUAAUAAACUCAUUUAUUUAAGUGUUAUUCCCUUUUGU